rfam:Cajanus cajan Scaffold128446_29, whole genome shotgun sequence.
AUACUUACCUGGAUGGGGUCAAUGGGUGAUCAAGAAGGCCCAUGGCCUAGGAUUGUGACCUCCAUUGCACUUUGGAGGGGUGCAGGCCUAAGGUCUCCUCAAGUAGGAGAGCCUACAUCAUAAUUUGUGGUAGUGGGGCCUGCGUUCGCGCGGCCCCCUU